rnacentral:lncRNA from 1 species
CAGCUCCUUAUAAAUAUAUCGAAUAGCAUAUAUGUUCCUAUUUGCCCUUCAAAUUUGUUAUUGUUAGUGCACUAUUUAUUUUCUAACAGCAAAUAAGUGAAAUAAUAUAUUUGUCCUUACAAAUAUAUUCCACUAAAAGUCCUAAUAAUUAGAAUUAUGAAAAAAUUUCAUCUCAAUAAAUAUUUUAUCUAAUAAUAUAAGAGGGUUAAAAAGUCAAUUUAACUCAUUCACUAAUUAGGGUUAAGUAUUUUACUUAUUUUUCUAACGGAUCCUAACAAUAGGGUUUAUUUAAAAAUGUUAGAAAUUUUGUAGGAAUAAAAAUAAAGAAAAUUUUUGAAACAUAUGAAAAUUAUUUUUAAGCAAACAAAUUUGAUGUACCUCAGUUGUAUACGUAUGUUGUAAAAAGUCAAACAUUAGUAUGAAGGUUUGAUAAAAGUUAUUGAGGAGCAAUAGUUC